CUGUUGGUGCUCUCCUCUGGGUGUAUAAAUACCCGGAAACCGGGGCGGUUUGAUAGCUAUAGGUACGCUGCUUCCCAUUCGCUUCCCAUUCCCGGGACUAAAAAGGAAAAUCCCACCCCAUAAAUAAAACACCCCGAAAAGUCCCCCCAAACCUUCACUCCCUUAUAUCAGAGCAAAGUACUACUCCCGCUCCAAAGUCUCAGACACCUCCAUUCCUGCCAUUCCACUACUCGUACCUCGCCGAAUUCCCCACCGCAUGCCACUGCCCCAACCGCCGAUACCACCACCACCACCGUAUCCGGCGGCGGAGAAGUAAGAAAAAGCAGGGCGGGGCGAUGAUCACGUGGCAGGACCUGUACACGGUGCUGACGGCGGUGGUGCCGCUGUACGUGGCGAUGAUCCUGGCCUACGGGUCGGUGCGGUGGUGGGGGAUCUUCUCCCCCGACCAGUGCUCCGGCAUCAACCGUUUCGUCGCCAUCUUCGCCGUUCCCCUCCUCUCCUUCCACUUCAUCUCCACCAACAACCCCUACGCCAUGAACUUCCGCUUCAUCGCCGCCGACACCCUCCAGAAGCUCAUCGUCCUCGCCGCCCUCGCCGCCUGGGCCCGCCUCUCCUCCCGCGGCUCCCUCGACUGGGCCAUCACCGUCUUCUCCCUCGCCACCCUCCCCAACACCCUCGUCAUGGGCAUCCCCCUCCUCAUCGCCAUGUACGGCGCCUUCUCCGGCUCCCUCAUGGUCCAGAUCGUUGUUCUCCAGUGUAUCAUCUGGUACACCCUCCUCCUCUUCCUCUUCGAGUAUCGCGCCGCCCGCCUCCUCAUCGCCGACCAGUUCCCCGACACCGCCGCCUCCAUCGUCUCCUUCCGCGUCGACUCCGACAUCGUCUCCCUCGACGGCGGCCGCGACCUCCUCCAGACCGACGCUGAGGUCGGCGGCGACGGCAAGAUCCACGUCACCGUCCGCCGCUCCAACGCCUCCCGUCGCUCCUUCUCCAUGGCCAUGACCCCGCGCCCCUCCAACCUCACCGGCGCCGAGAUCUACUCCCUGAGCUCCUCCCGGAAUCCUACUCCUAGGGGUUCCAACUUUAACCACUCCGACUUCUUCGCCAUGGUCGGCGGUGCUCCGCCCCCUCUCCGCCCCUCCAACUUUGGCCCCGCCGACCUCUACUCCCUCCAGUCCUCCCGCGGCCCCACCCCCCGCCCCUCCAACUUCGACGAUGGUGCCACCGCCGUCGGAUCGCCACGCUUCGGGCAUUACCCCGCACCCAACCCCGAAAUCUCCUCCGCCUCCGGCGCCGCCGCAAAGAAAAACAACGCCACCAAUCCGACCCCUCCAGCGGCCGCUGCUCCGCCGCAGCAGCAGCAGAACGGGGCGGCACAACAUGACGCGAAGGAGCUCCACAUGUUCGUGUGGAGCUCGAGCGCGUCGCCGGUGUCGGAGGUCGGCGGUCUGCACGUGUUCGGCGGCGCGGACUUCGCCGCGACGGACCUCGCCGGCCUGCCAGACAACGGUGGCGCCAAGGAGAUCCGGAUGCUCGUUCCCGCCGAUCUCCCCCAACACGGCGGAACCAAAGGAGCAGUAAUACCGGAGGGUGCGGACUACGGAGGUGGGCGAGAAGAUUUUAGCUUCGGAGGAGGAAAGGGAUUAGAAGAUUUGGGGGCGAAAGACACGGAAAACGGCCCGGAGGGGGUACCGAAGCUUGGGUCGAGUUCGACGGUGGAGCUCCACCUGAAAGGCGGCGGGCCGCCGGACAGCGGCAAGCACACCGACCAUCAGAUGCCUCCGACGAGCGUCAUGACCCGUCUGAUCCUCAUCAUGGUGUGGCGCAAGCUGAUCCGCAACCCCAACACCUACUCCAGCCUCAUCGGCCUCAUCUGGUCCCUCGUCGCCUUCCGGUGGCACGUGUCCAUGCCAAAAAUAAUAGAGAAGUCGAUCUCUAUACUAUCCGACGCCGGGCUGGGGAUGGCUAUGUUUAGCUUAGGGUUGUUCAUGGCGCUGCAGCCGAAGAUCAUCGCGUGCGGGAACUCGGUGGCGACGUUCGCGAUGGCCGUCCGAUUCCUCACCGGUCCGGCGGUCAUGGCCGCCGCCUCCAUCGCCGUCGGCCUCCGCGGCGUCCUCCUCCACGUGGCCAUCGUACAGGUACAUUUCGAAACUCCCAAGUCUGACAGACGCGUGUGGUAUACGUGUCGAAUUCGCAGUGGGCAAGAAGGGGUCAGUAGAUUUGAUAGGAAUGGAACGAACAGCUGCCGGACAGGGACUGGGCGGGCCGUCGCUUCGCCGCUGCCGUCAGAUCACGAUCUGACAGCCGUGACAGGGGGAUCUCUGAAUUGAUGACGUUAAUAUAGCGUACUGUUCUCUCGUACUUAAACCGAAUUUUGGCGCAUGGUUUGUGUUGUUACAGGCGGCCCUUCCCCAAGGCAUCGUCCCCUUCGUGUUCGCCAAGGAGUAUAACGUCCAUCCCGCUAUCCUAAGCACCGGAGUUAUUUUUGGAAUGCUGAUAGCUCUUCCAAUUACAUUGGUCUAUUACAUUAUCCUGGGAUUAUGACUCCGUUUAAAACGAGGCGAAGGUCAUAUUUGCUAUAAUGGAAGAGGAUGGAAAUCCGUGAUGAAAUAUCGCUCACCAGCGAAUAGUGGGUCCUACGACACCGCAUGAAGAAGCGAAUUUUCCAGCAAAAGAGAAGCCCGAAAUAUUCGUUUUGUAAAAGGAAAAUAGAAAGGCUUCUAUCUUUUCUUUCUUUUUAUUUUAAAAAAUUCGCCUUCUGCGAUCGGUGUUCGACACUGGAGGAUUAACUUUCUUUCUUUUUUUUCCUCUCUUAAAACUUUUUUACUUUUUCUUUGUAUUUCUUCUGUGGUGAAAAGGAGUCUUUCUCAAAAGGGGAAAGGUUUUGUUUGGCAUCAAAUACGAACACAACAACCAUCCUUUAUAAAAAUCAUGAAAAAAAUACGGAAAA